GUCAUCCGCCAUAUUGGAUUUUCUGCAAAUAUUUGCAGCAAAAAAGUGCGAAUUUUACCUUUUUUCAAUACUUAUAAAAUGUGGAGAGUUUUUUAAUGUGAGUAUUAAGAAGACGUUGGUUCACUGCAUCAUGCUGUUUUGGCUCAGGCGAUUGUCUGGGCCUGUUCUGUGGCGAAAUUUGUCCGCUCAAAUUCAGAGGUAUAAAUAUAUAAUAUACAUUUAUUUAUUUAUUUUGUAUAUAUUUUUAAUAUUAUCUUAGUAUUAGUAGU